rnacentral:rRNA from 1 species
CGCGCAGGCGGGCUGAUCAGUCUGUGGUGAAAGUUCACGGCUUAACCGUGAAAUUGCCUUGGAUACUGUCAGUCUUGAGUUCGGAAGAGGAAAGUGGAAUUCCUGGUGUAGCGGUGAGAUGCGUAGAUAUCAGGAAGAACACCGGUGGCGAAGGCGGCUUUCUGGUCCGAAACUGACGCUGAGGCGCGAAAGUGUGGGUAGCGAACA